GAUGAACGCUGGCGGCGUGCCUAAUACAUGCAAGUCGAACGCACAGCGAAAGGUGCUUGCACCUUUCAAGUGAGUGGCGAACGGGUGAGUAACACGUGGACAACCUGCCUCAAGGCUGGGGAUAACAUUUGGAAACAGAUGCUAAUACCGAAUAAAACUUAGUGUCGCAUGACACAAAGUUAAAAGGCGCUUCGGCGUCACCUAGAGAUGGAUCCGCGGUGCAUUAGUUAGUUGGUGGGGUAAAGGCCUACCAAGACAAUGAUGCAUAGCCGAGUUGAGAGACUGAUCGGCCACAUUGGGACUGAGACACGGCCCAAACUCCUACGGGAGGCUGCAGUAGGGAAUCUUCCACAAUGGGCGAAAGCCUGAUGGAGCAACGCCGCGUGUGUGAUGAAGGCUUUCGGGUCGUAAAGCACUGUUGUAUGGGAAGAACAGCUAGAAUAGGAAAUGAUUUUAGUUUGACGGUACCAUACCAGAAAGGGACGGCUAAUACGUGCCAGCAGCCGCGGUAAUACGUAUGUCCCGAGCGUUAUCCGGAUUUAUUGGGCGUAAAGCGAGCGCAGACGGUUUAUUAAGUCUGAUGUGAAAGCCCGGAGCUCAACUCCGGAAUGGCAUUGGAAACUGGUUAACUUGAGUGCAGUAGAGGUAAGUGGAACUCCAUGUGUAGCGGUGGAAUGCGUAGAUAUAUGGAAGAACACCAGUGGCGAAGGCGGCUUACUGGACUGCAACUGACGUUGAGGCUCGAAAGUGUGGGUAGCAAACAGGAUUAGAUACCCUGGUAGUCCACACCGUAAACGAUGAACACUAGGUGUUAGGAGGUUUCCGCCUCUUAGUGCCGAAGCUAACGCAUUAAGUGUUCCGCCUGGGGAGUACGACCGCAAGGUUGAAACUCAAAGGAAUUGACGGGGACCCGCACAAGCGGUGGAGCAUGUGGUUUAAUUCGAAGCAACGCGAAGAACCUUACCAGGUCUUGACAUCCUUUGAAGCUUUUAGAGAUAGAAGUGUUCUCUUCGGAGACAAAGUGACAGGUGGUGCAUGGUCGUCGUCAGCUCGUGUCGUGAGAUGUUGGGUUAAGUCCCGCAACGAGCGCAACCCUUAUUGUUAGUUGCCAGCAUUCAGAUGGGCACUCUAGCGAGACUGCCGGUGACAAACCGGAGGAAGGCGGGGACGACGUCAGAUCAUCAUGCCCCUUAUGACCUGGGCUACACACGUGCUACAAUGGCGUACACAACGAGUUGCCAACCCGCGAGGGUGAGCUAAUCUCUUAAAGUACGUCUCAGUUCGGAUUGUAGUCUGCAACUCGACUACAUGAAGUCGGAAUCGCUAGUAAUCGCGGAUCAGCACGCCGCGGUGAAUACGUUCCCGGGUCUUGUACACACCGCCCGUCACACCAUGGGAGUUUGUAAUGCCCAAAGCCGGUGGCCUAACCUUUUAGGAAGGAGCCGUCUAAGGCAGGACAGAUGACUGGGGUG
rnacentral:rRNA from 1 species